ACACACCUCACAAAUAAGAGUUCAAACCUUCCUCUUAGGUGACCCAAAGGACUCACACUUCCUCAAGUACACCUUUCUUGCCAAAUCAUCCAAGACAAGUGAAAACCCUAACUUUCAAAUGUUCAUGGACCAAGUUUUGGUUCUAAGAGCUACAACUACAAGACUAAAGCUACAAAAUAUGAGUAAUACUCAAUUUCGAUUCAUCAAAGUCU
rnacentral:lncRNA from 1 species